UACGAAGGGGGCUAGCGUUGCUCGGAAUCACUGGGCGUAAAGGGUGCGUAGGCGGGUCUUUAAGUCAGGGGUGAAAUCCUGGAGCUCAACUCCAGAACUGCCUUUGAUACUGAAGAUCUUGAGUUCGGGAGAGGUGAGUGGAACUGCGAGUGUAGAGGUGAAAUGCGUAGAUAUUGGGAGGAACACCAGUGGCGAAGGCGGCUCACUGGACCGGAACUGACGCUGAGGCGCGAAAGCGUGGGGAGCAAACAGG
rnacentral:rRNA from 1 species